AGCGAACGCUGGCGGCAGGCCUAACACAUGCAAGUCGAACGAACUCUUCGGAGUUAGUGGCGGACGGGUGAGUAACACGUGGGAACGUGCCUUUUGGUUCGGAAUAACUCAGGGAAACUUGUGCUAAUACCGAAUGUGCCCUUCGGGGGAAAGAUUUAUCGCCAUUAGAGCGGCCUGCGUCUGAUUAGCUAGUUGGUGAGGUAACGGCUCACCAAGGCGACGAUCAGUAGCUGGUCUGAGAGGAUGACCAGCCACACUGGGACUGAGACACGGCCCAGACUCCUACGGGAAGCAGCAGUGGGGAAUCUUGCGCAAUGGGCGAAAGCCUGACGCAGCCAUGCCGCGUGAAUGAUGAAGGUCUUAGGAUUGUAAAAUUCUUUCACCGGGGACGAUAAUGACGGUACCCGGAGAAGAAGCCCCGGCUAACUUCGUG
rnacentral:rRNA from 1 species